rnacentral:rRNA from 1 species
AUGGCGGAGGAACCGUCCGCCAAGCGUCAUCAUGCCGAGACAUCGGACAAGAGGAGCAACCUCGUUGACAUUAACGUCCCCGGCGAGAAGCUCGAGUACACCAGAACGCUCAAAGGGGUUGAGCUCCACGGCAAGGAGACGCUGGAGAUCGUCUGCACCAGCGAACCAGACAAGGCCGACGAGAUAAUGAGCAGGCUCAGGAUGAAGGGCGGCGGCUUGUAUCCGAGCUUCAUCAGAGUUGAUGUGGAGCCCAAGCGCCUCAAAGACUUCCUGCGGGAGGAGAAAUUGUACACAUUUGUUGGUUUCAGCAUUGGAGGUGACAAGCGGAUGCUGCAGGAGUCUGGUUUGGAAAUCAACCCCAACAACUUCAUCAACAUGCAGCGCAAGUGGAAAGAUCCAAAGACCAGAAAAUACUAUGGCUCCUUGGCCGAUGUUGCAGGCGGCGUCAUUCACCCAUUCUACGAAGGCAUGAAGAAGAAGAUGAACAGGGCAGACCACAAACUGUGGGGGAAUAGCCUGCUGCCAGACAACCUCAUCACGUAUGCAGGAAUAGAUGCAUACGCAACGUACAAGUCAUGGAGGACAAUCGACAACAUCGUGACACGUUGGGAUAUUUCAAAAGAGCAGGAGGCUGACCCCUACUACCACUGCAACUUCGCGGAUGAAGAUGCAUGA